rnacentral:rRNA from 1 species
GGAAUUAGGGUUUGAUUAUGGCUCAGGAUGAACGCUAGCGGGAGGCUUAACACAUGCAAGUCGAACGGUAACAGAUCCGCUUGCGGAUGCUGACGAGUGGCGAACGGGUGCGUAACGCGUAUGCAACCUACCCUUUACUGGAGAAUAGCCCAGAGAAAUUUGGAUUAAUACUCCAUGGUAUUACAGAUUCGCAUGUUUCUGUAAUUAAAGUUCCAACGGUAAAGGAUGGGCAUGCGUGACAUUAGUUUGUUGGUGAGGUAACGGCUCACCAAGACUACGAUGUCUAGGGGUUCUGAGAGGAUGAUCCCCCACACUGGUACUGAGACACGGACCAGACUCCUACGGGAGGCAGCAGUGAGGAAUAUUGGACAAUGGACGCAAGUCUGAUCCAGCCAUCCCGCGUGCAGGAAGACGGCCCUAUGGGUUGUAAACUGCUUUUAUAUAGGAAUAAACCCCCCUACGUGUAGGGGGCUGAAGGUACUAUAGGAAUAAGCACCGGCUAACUCCGUGC